AUUGAACGCUGGCGGCAUGCCUUACACAUGCAAGUCGAACGGUAACAGGUCUUCGGAUGCUGACGAGUGGCGAACGGGUGAGUAAUACAUCGGAACGUGCCCGAUCGUGGGGGAUAACGGAGCGAAAGCUUUGCUAAUACCGCAUACGAUCUACGGAUGAAAGCAGGGGACCGCAAGGCCUUGCGCGGACGGAGCGGCCGAUGGCAGAUUAGGUGGUUGGUGGGAUAAAAGCUUACCAAGCCGACGAUCUGUAGCUGGUCUGAGAGGACGACCAGCCACACUGGGACUGAGACACGGCCCAGACUCCUACGGGAGGCAGCAGUGGGGAAUUUUGGACAAUGGGCGAAAGCCUGAUCCAGCCAUGCCGCGUGCAGGAUGAAGGCCUUCGGGUUGUAAACUGCUUUUGUACGGAACGAAAAGCCUCUUUCUAAUAAAGAGAGGUCAUGACGGUACCGUAAGAAUAAGCACCGGCUAACUACGUGCCAGCCGCCGCCGUAAAAC
rnacentral:rRNA from 1 species